rnacentral:misc_RNA from 1 species
AUUAAGGAGAUUAAGGAGGGUUGAACAAACAUUUGCUAUAUAUCGUGCCUAAAGAUAGUUUAGGUUUAUCUCAAUAUAGAAUAGCUUCAGAGGAUCUUUCACUUCGAGUGUCAAUAUUAAAUAAUGCAUAAGGUGGAUUUUGGUUUAGAAUUAUUGGAUAUUCUACAAUUACCCUGUCUUGUGAUGCUUAAUUUUUCAAGUAAUAGACAACAAUUUUACAGAAAUCUAGUAGAUUUUUAACUCCCGUUAAAAUUGGAAGAUUCUAGGUGUGAUACUAAUAAGGUCUUAGCUGGAGUGCAUUGGGAUUUCUCUGUUUGAG